GACGUAGGAUGCGAGCGUUGUCCGGAUUUAUUGGGCGUAAAGAGUUCGUAGGUGGUUUUAUAAGUCUGGUGUCAAAGGCUGGGGCUCAACCCUGGAUGUGCACUGGAUACUGUAAGACUGGAGUGCAGUAGAGGCAAGCGGAAUUCCCAGUGUAGCGGUGAAAUGCGUAGAUAUUGGGAAGAACACCGGUGGCGCAAGCGGCUUGCUGGGCUGUAACUGACACUGAGGAACGAAAGCUAGGGGAGCGAAUGGG
rnacentral:rRNA from 2 species